rnacentral:rRNA from 1 species
AUUGAACGCUGGCGGCAGGCUUAACACAUGCAAGUCGAGCGGAGAUGAGGUGCUUGCACCUUAUCUUAGCGGCGGACGGGUGAGUAAUGCUUAGGAAUCUGCCUAUUAGUGGGGGACAACAUUCCGAAAGGAAUGCUAAUACCGCAUACGCCCUACGGGGGAAAGCAGGGGAUCUUCGGACCUUGCGCGAAUAGAUGAGCCUAAGUCGGAUUAGCUAGUUGGUGGGGUAAAGGCCUACCAAGGCGACGAUCUGUAGCGGGUCUGAGAGGAUGAGCCGCCACGCUGGGACAGAGACACGGCCCAGACUCCUACGGGAGGCAGCAGUGGGGAAUAUUGGGCAAUGGGCGGAAGCCUGAUCCAGCCAUGCCUCGUGUGUGAAGAAGGCCUUUUGGUUGUAAAGCACUUUAAGCGAGGAGGAAGGGUUGUAGAUUAAUACUCUGCAAUUUUGACGUUACCGACAGAAUAAGCACCGGCUAACUCUGUGCCAGCAGCCGCGGUAA